rnacentral:rRNA from 1 species
UACUCCUACGGGAGGCAGCAGUAAGGAAUAUUGGGCAAUGGACGCAAGUCUGACCCAGCCAUGCCGCGUGCAGGAAGACGGCCUUAUGGGUUGUAAACUGCUUUUGUCAGGGAAUAAACCCUUGGAUUAAUCCAGGGCUGAAUGUACCUGAAGAAUAAGCAUCGGCUAACUCCGUGCCAGCAGCCGCGGUAAU